rnacentral:rRNA from 1 species
CCUACGGGGGGCAGCAGUGGGGAAUAUUGCACAAUGGGGGAAACCCUGAUGCAGCGACGCCGCGUGAGUGAAGAAGUAUUUCGGUAUGUAAAGCUCUCUCAGCAGGGAAGAAGAAGGACGGUACCUGAGUAAGAAGCCCCGGCUAACUACGUGCCAGCAGCCGCGGUAAUACGUAGGGGGCAAGCGUUAUCCGGAUUUACUGGGUGUAAAGGGAACGUAGACGGCGAAGAAAGUCUGGAGUGAAAGCCCGCGGCUCA